rnacentral:rRNA from 1 species
GGGCGGAUGCUUUACACAUGCAAGUCGAACGGAACUUAAGGGCUUGCUCUUAAGUUUAGUGGCGAACGGGUGAGUAACAUAUCGGAACGUAUCCAAUAAUGGGGGAUAACUAAGCGAAAGCUUGGCUAAUACCGCAUACGCCCUAAGGGGGAAAGCAGGGGAUCUUCGGACCUUGCGUUAAUGGAGCGGCUGAUAUCUGAUUAGCUAGUUGGUGGGGUAAAGGCCCACCAAGGCGACGAUCAGUAGCUGGUCUGAGAGGACGACCAGCCACACUGGAACUGAGACACGGUCCAGACUCCUACGGGAGGCAGCAGUGGGGAAUUUUGGACAAUGGGCGCAAGCCUGAUCCAGCCAUUCCGCGUGAGUGAAGAAGGCCUUCGGGUUGUAAAGCUCUUUCGCAAGGGAAGAAACGUUAUUGGUGAAUAACCAAUGAUAAUGACGGUACCUUGAUAAGAAGCACCGGCUAACUACGUGCCAGCAGCCGCGGUAAUACGUAGGGUGCGAGCGUUAAUCGGAAUUACUGGGCGUAAAGCGUGCGCAGGCGGUUUUGUAAGUCAGAUGUGAAAUCCCCGAGCUCAACUUGGGAACUGCGUUUGAAACUACAAGACUAGAGUAGGUCAGAGGGGGGUAGAAUUCCACGUGUAGCAGUGAAAUGCGUAGAGAUGUGGAGGAAUACCAAUGGCGAAGGCAGCCCCCUGGGAUCAUACUGACGCUCAUGCACGAAAGCGUGGGGAGCAAACAGGAUUAGAUACCCUGGUAGUCCACGCCCUAAACGAUGUCAACUAGUUGUUGGUAGAGUAAAAUCUAUGAGUAACGCAGCUAACGCGUGAAGUUGACCGCCUGGGGAGUACGAUCGCAAGAUUA